GAUGAACGCUGGCGGCGUGCUUAAUACAUGCAAGUCGAGCGAACAGACCAGGAUCUUGCUCCUCUGACGUUAGCGGCGGACGGGGGAGUAACACGUAGAUAACCUACCUUUAAGACUGGGAUAACGUCUGAAAACCGGACCUAUUACCGGAUAAUAUAUUGAACCGCAUGGUUCAGUAGUGAAAGACGGACUUUCUGUCACUUAUAGAUGGAUCGGCGCCGCCUUAGCUACUUGGUGGUGGAGCGGCUUUCCAAGGCAACGAUGCGUAGCGGCCGGCAGGGGGGGAUCGGCGAUCACGGAAGUGCGACGCGGUCGAGACUCCUACGGGAGGAGGCAGUAGGGAAUCGUACGGCAUGGGCGAAAGCCGGAUGGAGCAGCGACGCGUGAGUGAUGAAGGUCUUCGGAUCGUAGAGCUCUGCUAUUAGGGAAGAAGAAGUGUGUAAGUAAUUAUGCGCGUCUUGACGGUACCUAAUUAGAAAGCCCCGGCUAACUACGUG
rnacentral:rRNA from 1 species